rfam:Stegodyphus mimosarum contig23363, whole genome shotgun sequence.
GUCUUUGUGGUGUAGUGGUCAGCACGCUCGGCGCCUAUUCGAGAGGUCCGUGGUUCGAGUCCCAGCGGGGGCA